rnacentral:rRNA from 1 species
AGCGGCCGCGGUAAUUCCAGCUCCAAUAGCGUAUAUUAAAGUUGUUGCAGUUAAAAAGCUCGUAGUUGAAUUUCGGGAUCAAAGAAUCGGUCAUGCCUUGGUAUGUACUGGUUUUAUUGGUUCUCACCUUCUAAAGAACCAUGAUGUCAUUCAUUUGAUGUUAUGGGGAAUUAGGACUGUUACCUUGAAAAAAUUAGAGUGUUUAAAGCAAGCUUACGCUUGAAUACAUUAGCAUGGAAUAAUGAAAUAGGACAUCAGAUUCUAUUUUGUUGGUUUCUAGGAUCGAUGUAAUGAUUAAUAGGGAUAGUUGGGGGCAUUAGUAUUCAAUUGUCAGAGGUGAAAUUCUUGGAUUUAUUGAAGACUAACUACUGCGAAAGCAUUUGCCAAGGAUGUUUUCAUUAAUCAAGAACGAAAGUUAGGGGAUCGAAGACGAUCAGAUACCGUCGUAGUCUUAACCAUAAACUAUGCCGACUAGGGAUCGGAUGAUGUUAAUUUUUUAAUGACUCAUUCGGCGCCUUAC